CCGGAGGAAAUAUUCGCUCCAAUUUGCAUAGUAUAACCGGAAUGUCCUCUUCAAGCCUUUGCAUAUCUUCCUCCCGUAAGAUCGUACUCGUUAGUUGCUUAAAGAAAAUACUUAGCUCGGUAAUUGCUUCCCACACUCUGAUUGGUAAUAAUUCACGAAAAGCAAUAGGCAACAACCUUUGCAUGAAAAUAUGACAAUCAUGACUUUUCAUUCCAAAUAAUCUGUACUUGUUCAUGUCGACACAUCGAGCCAUAUUAGACACAUAACCAUCAGGAAAUCUGAGUCCCUUCAUCCAUUCACAAAUAACUUGUUUUGCCGGUUUGUCCAAUGCAUAUAUUGCUUUUGGAUACCUACCAGUUUCUGCAUUAACCUCCAACUCAGGCCGCCGACAUAUUUCCCUCAUAUCUUCUCUUGCUUUUGCAUUAUCUUUUGUUUUACCCUCUAUAUUCAUAAUGGUAUUGAACAAGUUAUCAAAAAAAUUCUUUUCAAUAUGCAUUACAUCAAGGUUGUGUCUAAUAAGCAAGGAACUCCAAUAAGGUGUCUAAUAAGCAAGGAACUCCAAUAAGGUAAAUCCCAGAAUAUGCUGCGUUUCCUCCAUCCACAUGUCUUACUAAUAACAGCAUUAACAACAUCUGAACCUGGAUCUGUCACUCUCAUUAAUC
rnacentral:lncRNA from 1 species